rnacentral:rRNA from 1 species
GACGAACGCUGGCGGCGUGCUUAACACAUGCAAGUCGAACGGUAAGGCCCUUCGGGGUACACGAGUGGCGAACGGGUGAGUAACACGUGGGUGAUCUGCCCUGCACUUCGGGAUAAGCCUGGGAAACUGGGUCUAAUACCGGAUAGGACUCCUGCCUGCAUGGGUGGGGGUGGAAAGCUUUUGCGGUGUGGGAUGGGCCCGCGGCCUAUCAGCUUGUUGGUGGGGUGAUGGCCUACCAAGGCGACGACGGGUAGCCGGCCUGAGAGGGUGACCGGCCACACUGGGACUGAGAUACGGCCCAGACUCCUACGGGAGGCAGCAGUGGGGAAUAUUGCACAAUGGGCGCAAGCCUGAUGCAGCGACGCCGCGUGAGGGAUGACGGCCUUCGGGUUGUAAACCUCUUUGAGCACAGACGAAGCGCAAGUGACGGUAUGUGCAGAAGAAGGACCGGCCAACUACGUGCCAGCAGCCGCAGUAA